rnacentral:rRNA from 1 species
UGAGUUUGAUCCUGGCUCAGAACGAACGCUGGCGGCAGGCCUAACACAUGCAAGUCGAACGCUGUAGCAAUACAGAGUGGCAGACGGGUGAGUAACGCGUGGGAACGUGCCUUUCGGUUCGGAAUAACUCAGGGAAACUUGAGCUAAUACCGGAUACGCCCUUCGGGGGAAAGAUUUAUUGCCGAAAGAUCGGCCCGCGUCCGAUUAGCUAGUUGGUGAGGUAACGGCCCACCAAGGCGACGAUCGGUAGCUGGUCUGAGAGGAUGAUCAGCCACACUGGGACUGAGACACGGCCCAGACUCCUACGGGAGGCAGCAGUGGGGAAUAUUGGACAAUGGGCGCAAGCCUGAUCCAGCCAUGCCGCGUGAGUGAUGAAGGCCCUAGGGUUGUAAAGCUCUUUCGCCUGGGACGAUAAUGACGGUACCUGGAUAAGAAGCCCCGGCUAACUUCGUGCCAGCAGCCGCGGUAAUACGAAGGGGGCUAGCGUUGUUCGGAAUCACUGGGCGUAAAGCGCACGUAGGCGGAUCUUUAAGUCAGGGGUGAAAUCCCGAGGCUCAACCUCGGAACUGCCUUUGAUACUGGGGGUCUAGAGUCCGGGAGAGGUGAGUGGAACUGCGAGUGUAGAGGUGAAAUUCGUAGAUAUUCGCAAGAACACCAGUGGCGAAGGC